rnacentral:rRNA from 1 species
UGGGGAAUAUUGGACAAUGGGCGAAAGCCUGAUCCAGCCAUGCCGCGUGUGUGAAGAAGGUCUUCGGAUUGUAAAGCACUUUAAGUUGGGAGGAAGGGCAGUAAGCGAAUACCUUGCUGUUUUGACGUUACCGACAGAAUAAGCACCGGCUAACUCUGUGCCAGCAGCCGCGGUAAUACAGAGGGUGCAAGCGUUAAUCGGAAUUACUGGGCGUAAAGCGCGCGUAGGUGGUUCGUUAAGUUGAAUGUGAAAGCCCCGGGCUCAACCUGGGAAGUGCAUCCAAAACAGGCGAGCUAGAGUAGGGCAGAGGGGGGUGGAAUUUCCUGUGUAGCGGUGAAAUGCGUAGAUAUAGGAAGGAACACCAGUGGCGAAGGCGACCACCUGGGCUCAUAAUGACACUGAGGUGCGAAAGAGUGGGGAGCAAACAGG